rnacentral:lncRNA from 1 species
ACGAGAGGAGCGGAGGCGAGGGGUGAACGCGGAGCACUCCAAUCGGUCAGUCAUUGUUUCUAUUGGCACAAUGGGAGGCCCCGCCCCUCACGGCGGACUCAUCGCAUGGGGGAGGGGGCUCCGCGGGUUGCCGGCUAACCGUGAGAGAGUCCGGGAGGUACACUAUACGGACCGGCCUCCAAAGGCGGAAUCGAUAACGAGCUGCAGCGCCGGGUGCAGAGGACGCGGGCAUCCCGAAGCCCAGGAAGAGGUCAGGGCCGGGACCCCAGAACGCUCCACAGGGUGCGGCUCCCGCGAUGGGGUGGAUCCUGGUUCUAACAGGCGAGGAACUCCUGGCCAAGGCCUCUGGCCCGCCCCGAACGGUCCCUAUGACAUCACCAUCAACCAAUCAGUCGGCGCAUCCUUUCGCCCCUUGACUGCUCCGCUUCCGGGAGGCGGGGCUUCUGCGGGUUCCACCUCCCGAGCGCCCCUUGUGGCUACCAAGAGACAGGGUCUCACCAUGUAGGCCAGAUUAGUCUUGAACUCCUGGGCUCAAGCAAUCCGCCCAUCUUGGCCUCCCAAAGUGCUGGGAUUAUAGGUGUGAGCCACCGCGCCCGGCAACCCAGAAGUGGUUUUGACAGCACCAGCGCUUUCUGUGUCCACAAUCUACUCCCAACUAGAGGUCCACCCAGGACCCAGAGACCUGGAUUUGAGGCUGCUGGGCGGCAGAUGGAGCGAUCAGAAGACCAGGAGACGGGAGCUGGAGUGCAGUGGCUGUUCACAAGCGUGAAAGCAAAGAUUAAAAAAUUUGUUUUUAUAUUAAAAA